AGGAGAGAAGGACGCCUUAGCCUCGGGCGGCUUCUGUGUGUUGUGGAGCCUGGUAGUCUUAGUAGCUCAGCGGUCUUUUCUGAGGCAGGGGUAGGUGUCUGUCUGUCUGAAGCGCUCCUAGCCGCCUAGUGCGGCACAGUCCACACGCAGGACUAGCCACACGCCACCUUCUCGACCUCGCUACUUCAUCCGCUGCCGUAGGAACUCUGGGCACUGGCAUCCUGUCUCCAGGCCUGGACAUUGCCCCCCCUCUAACCCAAACUGAAGAUGAACUUAGACAAUUGCACUGUCUCUCUCCCAGGAGCCCUGAAAGACCGUGGCCUUUUUGUUCUCUGUUUCUCUGCUUAUUUAUAUUUUAGAGCAAACAAUUAUUUGCCCGGAGGAUGUAAAACGUUUAGUAGUACCCCCAUACGGUCCACAAAAGUGCCUGUAACACCAUUAUCCCUAAUUGUGACAAUCAAAAUACAGCUUAAGAUCUUGCAAAUGCCUCCAGGGAAAUCAGGAGGUGGAGUGGGGAGAGGACGUGCUCCAUUAAGUUUAAAUUUCAGAUAAACCACAGUUUUUAAAUGUGUAAUUUAUUUGUUGCUGUGACCAAAUACCUGCAAGCAGCAACAUCAAAGAUGAAGGAUUUAUUUGGGUUUAGGGUUCUAGGGAAUACGGCCCCCACAGUCCAGAAGGCCUGGCAACAAAGUUGCUAGUUACACAUUAUCUGAAAUUAGAAUAAAGGAAUGAAAAGGG
rnacentral:lncRNA from 1 species